rnacentral:rRNA from 1 species
CUGGGACUGGGACACGGCCCAGACUCCUACGGGAGGCAGCAGUGGGGAAUUUUCCGCAAUGGGCGAAAGCCUGACGGAGCAAUACCGCGUGAGGGAGGAAGGCCUUUGGGUUGUAAACCUCUUUUCUCAGGGAAGAAGAUCUGACGGUACCUGAGGAAUAAGCAUCGGCUAACUCCGUGCCAGCAGCCGCGGUAAUACGGAGGAUGCAAGCGUUAUCCGGAAUCAUUGGGCGUAAAGCGUCCGCAGGUGGUUUUUCAAGUCUGCUGUUAAAGACUGGAGCUCAACUCCGGAAAGGCAGUGGAAACUGAGAAACUAGAGUUCGGUAGGGGUAGCGGGAAUUCCCAGUGUAGCGGUGAAAUGCGUAGAUAUUGGGAAGAACAUCGGUGGCGAAGGCGCGCUACUGGACCGAAACUGACACUCAGGGACGAAAGCUAGGGGAGCGAAAGGGAUUAGAUACCCCUGUAGUCCUAGCUGUAAACGAUGGAAACUAGGUGUGGCUUGUAUCGACCCGAGCCGUGCCGUAGCUAACGCGUUAAGUUUCCCGCCUGGGGAGUACGCACGCAAGUGUGAAACUCAAAGGAAUUGACGGGGGCCCGCACAAGCGGUGGAGUAUGUGGUUUAAUUCGAUGCAACGCGAAGAACCUUACCAGGGCUUGACAUGUCGCGAAUCUCCUUGAAAGGGGAGAGUGCCUUCGGGAGCGCGAACACAGGUGGUGCAUGGCUGUCGUCAGCUCGUGUCGUGAGAUGUUGGGUUAAGUCCCGCAACGAGCGCAACCCUCGUCUUUAGUUGCCAGCAUUAAGGUGGGCACUUUAGAGAGACUGCCGGUGACAAACCGGAGGAAGGUGGGGAUGACGUCAAGUCAGCAUGCCCCUUACGCCCUGGGCUACACACGUACUACAAUGGUUGGGACAAAGGGCAGCGACCCCGCGAGGGAAAGCGAAUCUCAUCAAACCCAGCCUCAGUUCAGAUUGCAGGCUGCAACUCGCCUGCAUGAAGGAGGAAUCGCUAGUAAUCGCAGGUCAGCAUACUGCGGUGAAUUCGUUCCCGGGCCUUGUACACACCGCCCGUCACACCAUGGAAGCUGGUCACGCCCGAAGUAGUUACCCUAACCUUUCGGGGGGGGGGACUCCUAAGGCAGGGCUAGUGACUGGGGUGAAGUCGUAACAAGGUAGCCGUACCGGAAGGUGUGGCUG